CUCCGACCUCCGUUUAUACCUAUCUCACAUAUCUUCUGAUUGGAUUGCUGGCAAGUUCAAGACCAAUUGAUCAAGUUCAAGUUUUUAAUUGAUCACUCUGCAACAAGCCAGCCUAUGUUCUGAGAUGGCAACUCCAAGCCCCCACUCUCGGCCAGCACCAAUCCGCUGCAAAUGUGUAGCUAAUAGAACGAUUUGCAAAGGCGUCACCUUUGCGAGAGAGGGCACAAAGGUUAAAAUCUCGUCACUGAGGGUGAGGUCAACUAGUGCCCUCAGUGAUGGGAAGAAUAUAUACUUGUCGUCCAACAACAACGAGACACCGGAUUUUGAAGAGGGAGUUUCCUAUUUUUUAAAAAAUGUAACGAUUAGCAAUAAAUACGGCCGCCAAAUUUUAUAUUUUGGCAAAUCAUCAACUAAAUUUAGAACAGCACCUGUUACACUUUCCAAAGAGGAGGAGAAGGCUGCAAAAGACGCCCUGUGCCCUCCCUCACACCAUGUCACAGCGCAAGAGGACAUCUUCUCACGGGGAGAUUACUUGACUCUUAAAGGUCAAGUACAAAAAGUGGUCUCCAGACUUGGCCCUGGAGGGCUGCUGCCCUGCAGAGUUUAGCUCCAACCCCAAUUAAACACACCUGAACCUGCUAAUAAGAGAUGUCGGAGAUGACGUAGAUCUCACGCAUUUAAAGGUCUUCAUUUGGGAGAGUGGGAACGGGAAACUAAAUUCAUCCACGUACACGACUGUCAAGACUGCUGAGAGGAAACCGGAGACAGUCGUGGCAGAAAUUGUCGGUGUGUCUGAGCAGGAUACUAAUCUCAUCCUUCUGUGCGCUGAUUUCUCCGAGUUCGUCAUCCCUGCCAACCUGUACCAGGGACGACUUCAUCCUGAAGCUUCCUGUCCACCUAAAAAUCACGCACAUAAAGACAAGAGUAGUUGAGGUUGAUUUUGUUAAUAAUUAAAAUGAUAAUGAUAAAAGUUU